AUUACUUUGGCAGAUUAGUGCUUUAAAUUUAGGAUUUAUAAAUAUAUUUAUUAAAUAUAAGUAAUA
rnacentral:tRNA from 1 species